rnacentral:lncRNA from 1 species
ACUCAUCUCCUUAUCACAUUAUAUAAACACACACCGAGAACACGAAAAUGGAAGAAGCUGAAAAAUCGCUUAAAAACGAGAGAAAAACGGAGGGACAAAAAAUAGAGUGAGAAUCCACUGCUUCUUCACCAAAGAACCAGUGAAAUCUCCCACAAAAUUUCAGCUUAAAACUAGCUAAAAACAGUCCUUAAAUAGAUCCCAAAUCAGUCCCACAACAGUCCCAUAUUUCCACUUGAGACCAGCCUCUAAGUCCACCUUGAACCCACUUGAAAACUCCAUUAAAAUCAAUGGCAAAAACAGUCCAAAUCUCUGCCAUUAAAAACGUCCAGGCCUAGUCGAGUACGUCCGAGGUUCGUCAAAUUCCGGCGAUCUUCGAAGUCGAGGUUCCAAAGUCACGGUCUUGGUCAUCUUUCAGUUUUGAGCAAACAAAGUCAGAUUUUCCUUGCUAAAAGGUUAUUUUGCACUCUACUAAUCUUCCUCGUUAAAACACUGCUGCGAUGUCUUGGUUAAGUGGCUUUGAGUUUGAAUAAAAUGUCACAUUUCUGAUAAGCAUGUUAUUAAUUUUAAUUUAAUCUUUUGUUUGCUCACACCAUGUUUAGUAUUUGUCUUUGGUAAAUGCUUAGUAGAUUGUAUUUGUUAGUAUGCGGAUGAACGUCUUUGUUUAUUGCUUGAACAAGAAAGAAUGUAGUUUGUUUAUUAGAAAUUAGAAUUCUGUCGUAAGAGCCGUGAAUUUUUCUAUUAAGAAUUAAAAACACUUUCGAUUGUUCCAUUUUGUUAAAUAUCCUAAAUUAAUCGGUUGAGUGUUUGGUUGAUGAAAGUUUAUUAAAGAUCCAUCCCUACCGUAUUCAAUUGUUUCAUUCAUGUCAUUCACUGUUCACUCCCUUAUGGCUUAGUCUUCUUAGAUAUUUGAUUAUUACUAUAGGAGUAUUAAUUUAGUCACAUAAUUUUUAACAAAAUUAGUUUUUUUAGGAAAAGAAUUCAUCGUACCUUGCUUUAGUCGCGAUUAAUAAUAAAUCAUCGUAACUAUGAGUACGGUUUCUGUGGCAUAGUCAUGAUACGUAAAUCCCAAUUCGAGUAUGUGUUCACGCGACUUGACCAAAACUUCAAAUAAUAAUAAUAAUAAUAAACAUAUUGUAAAUUCCGGGUGCAUUUUACGUGGCGCGGUUUGCAAUGUGUACCAAAACGACAAGUGUACGAUAUCGUAACUAAUUCAAAAAUAACUCUAUAAAUACUAAAAGCGGUUAAAUAAAUAAUUAAAAACGGUAAUGCAUGAAAGGUUUUAAACAUGUAAUGAUUCAGAUAAUUAAGCCAUGUGUAAUUGUAAAUCGAUCGUGCUAAAAUCACGGAAUCCGGGAGUGACUCACACCUUCUCCCGGGUUAACAGAAUUCCUUACCAUGUCUUCUGGUUUUCGCGGACUUUAAAACAAAGUCAAAUUUCCUUGAUUUAGGAUUUAAAAUAAACCAGUGACUUGGGACACCAUAAAUUAUUCCUAGUGGCGACUCUAAUUUAUAUAAAUAAUCUUAUUUCGAACAAUGUCACUUUAAUUGAAAACCCCCCCUAUUCCCUCGGGAAAAAUAAGGUGUGACAGCUCUGGCGAUUCUACUGGGAAAAGAACCCAGAACUUCUGGUUCAGGGUCCAGAAUUCGAGCUUAGAAUAACUAUUAUAUUUGGCUUUGGUUUAUUAUCUGAUUUUUACAUGUUUGAGCCUAAUGUGCUAAAUCCCGCUUUUUACCGCUUUGAUAUUGUAUGAAGUGUAUAUAAAAUUGUUACGGCACCCUUCUUCUCUCUAAGUCUUCUAAAUCUUCUGGGAGCAUGCGCUUCGCAUGACUUCUUUUCUGUUAGAGUCAUACCCCUAAUUUUAGAACGAGGAUCGGACAAGUUACAAAGACGGUAAAACUUUUGUAUUCCCCCCCCCCCUCCCUUUCCCGACUCGAGUUGUCCGCUCGGGUAAGCCAGGUAUAGAAUAACACAUCCCAGGAUUUAAACCUAGAAUAACAUAGCCGCAUGCCGAAUACCUAGUAGGAACGUUUGUUUGCAUCACGUGCAUUUGAUUUUGCUCCAAUAUAAAAGACCAUCUUGAUACAUUUUACGUGUUACUUGUGCAUUUUUUUUAUUUUGGCUUGCAGGUUGACAGACUUCUAGAAUAGGGAAAGAAAACCAAAAAAAACAGAAAAGAGAAAAUUGACCUGGUUCCUGAAAAUCCCAGUAUUUUUAAAAAAGAAAAAAAAGAUUCUGAAACUCUAACGAAUUUUUAGAAGGUGGUCACAAAUGACUCCAGAUUUUCAAAAAUGACAUUUUUCCCCAGUCCUGAAAAACUAACCGAACUACGCGGGUCUGAUUCUCACCGGAUGUGAGAUACGUAGGCAAACCUCAUCGGUUCCAACCCCGAUUUUCAAAAAAAAAAAAUUCAAAAAUAUUUUCCCUUCCCUUAAUUCCCUUCAAAAAUAGAAUUCUUUCCUUAGAAAAUCCAAAAAGAAAAAUUUAAAUCCAAAAAUAUUUUCUUUCUUUUCCAAAGUCUUUCAUUCGAAAAAAAAAAUUUCAAAUCAAAGUUCAAAGUAUUUUCUUCCUCUUUAGAAUUCUUUCUUUUAAAAAGAAAAAUUUCAAAUUCCAUAAAACAAAACUAAAAAAAUAUAUUUAAAAAUCUUUAUAAAAAAAAAGAAAAAGAAAAAUGGGAUCGGGUUCAUUCAACCCGCAAGAUCGGCGUCAUGAUACGUAGGCAAUCCUCAUCGGAUUCGAUCAUAACCAUUAAUAAACCGUGUGAAAAAAAAAUAGAAAAAGAAAAAGAAAGAAAGGAGUGACAAAAAAAUAACAAAGAGCAAAAAAAGAAAAAAAUCAAGAGCGAAAAAUAGAACUCUUUGUCCAAUUUGAAAAAGAAAAUCGUGGAAAACUUGUAUGGGUAUACUGUCAAAUGGUGCGAGCAAGCCGACAGGGAAAAACCUCCAAUGGACGAAGCAUAAAUGGUUAUGGUCUUUCUACAUGCGCAAGAGGCGGACUACUUCCGGAACAUGAUGGUAACCCGUUUGCCGAAGCUAUCAAAAUUGGGGAGAUGAUCGAAAAUGAUUUAAAAACAGGUCGAAUCUUGAGUCAUGCUGCCUUUAAGGCCACAUGGCAGACCGUUCAAAUUGGUUCGGGGGUGUUUGAUGAAUAUAACUAGGGAGGAAGAGGGAACCAUGAUGGCUUUGAGCUCGAGGGGGCCCGCAAGUUAUUCAACCAAUCAUAUAUGCUUCCUAAAGUCCCACAACACUAUUAUCCCCAUCAAUAUGAUGCUUAUUCCAUGACACUGCCUCCCUAUACAGUGAUGAGUGCGCAACCUUACACGCGGCUAGAGCAUUAUACACAAAACCGAGCUUCACAUCCCAAAAAUUCCCGACCCUACCAAGCUCCAUAUAAUCCCCAACCAAAUGUUCCCCAAUAUAAUCCUCGCCCAAGAGAUCCCCUCAGAAGGCAUCAGUUCAUCCCAAUUGAUGAAUCAUAUUCAAGUUCGUUUCAAAAGGUAAUCGGACUAGGUCUGCUGCAGCCAGUGGCCCCGAAGCGGCCAAACCCCGAGUCCCCCUUGCACCAAGCUGAUGCUGGAUGUGAAUACCACUCUAGAGCAGUGAGUGUUACACCAUGUGCGUCCCAAGGUGGCGUAAUGAAUAUGAAACUUAUUAAUUAUUAUUUAAAUGAUUUUAAAGUCAUAAUAUGGCUAUAUAUGAUAUUUGGAUAGAAAAUAUGAAGUUUGGGAAAUAUCGAAUUAAAGUUGCGGAAAAAGCGACUAAAGAUUUGGCUUGUAACAGAGCUUUUUGAGAAAUAAAAUUUAUGUGCUAUAUGUAUUCUUUUUGGGACAUAUUAUAUACCAAAUUGAAGGUCUUGGAAUUUAGUUUCCAAUGCUCUUAACCGUUCGUUCAUACGACACCCAAAUAAAAAGUUAUAAGCGUUGGAAGAAGGACCAAUGCUAGGGUGCCAAGUAGCACCUUUUGACUUUUCAAACAAAAUGGAUAUUUAUAUCUUUAUCUCGUUUCAUUCUUCAAUUUUCCAGAACACACAACCAAAUAAGACCCCUAACUUUACUCUUAAGCUAAGAUUAUCAUUCCGGGCACGAAAUCAAGAAACGAUAAUAUUUAAACGAUCCCUAUGGCGUAAGUAUCGCUAUAUCGCCUCUAUUUUUCUUUGUAGUUUGAGUUUUGGAAGGUACUUCAUAGUUAAUAAAACAUGUACUUUCUGUAUUUAAGUGUUUAAAUAUCAAGAAAGGUUGAUAAAUUCGUUUUCUAAUAGGUAGAACUCACGGGACAGUGAUCGGAAGCCGUGAGUUCGAGUUAUUCACUUGUAGCGGACUGUUUUGUGGAUUAUUUUUUGUUGUGGUUGGGCUGCGUGUUUUACUUCUAUUUUUUGGAGUUUUGGAGGAGUAAGUCUGUGUAGAAACACCACAUAAAUUCAGGGUAGUGCGCUAGUUGUUCGUCGUAAUAAUUUUGGGCUGUUUGACACUACUACGGUGGUCGUUUUGUGUAUGAAGAGAUUGGGAUGUGUUGGGCUAUUUGUAAUAUUUUGUGGUGUAUAUAAGGCUGUAAAAUAAUGUAUAAAUGUUGAUAUUGUUAUGUUUGGUGUUAUCUUAAAGUUGAAGAAAGUAAGGAUUAUAGGGGAGAUGCUUCCCGUUUUAAUACAAAAUAAGCUUGUCGUUCGUUGUGCGAUAGUUGUACUUUUCGUAACUUAAUGAUAGUAUUAUUAUUAUUGUUGUUGUAGAUUAAGGUACGAAGAGGAGAGUUCAACUUGGUGAUUGGAAAGAUUGUGAUAAGGUAUGUUAAGGCUAUCACUUCUUUCCUUUUUGGCAUGAUCCAUAUGAUGCAAGAAAUGAGCAAGUAUACAACUUUCACAAAUAAUUCUAUUCCUAGAAGUACUAGGUUUGCCUAUAUUCUUGAUUCCCCAUAUGUCCUACUAUCAUAUCGUUUGUUCACGAAUCUUAUGAUAUUCCGAGUGAUCUUAUUGACUUACUUCAUUAUGUAUUGCAUCCAUUUAUACAUGUACAUUAACCCAUGAUCAGAUGACGUUAUAUACACGUAUAUUAUAUGUAUAUGAGGUAUGAGAAAAGGUUAUGGUGUUAUAUACGCACCACCACCUGAUCAGCUGAUAUACGUUGAUGAUUUUGCCCACAGCGACUGAGAUGAUAUGAUGGGAUACCCCCAGAGGCUUGAUGAUAUUAUGUACGCAUAUACCUAUGCAUGAUAUGACAUUUAUAUGCACAUACAUGACAUUAUAAAUUUUUCAUGAUUCACAGAGCUAUUCAGACUUGCAGGUUGAGUUCCUUACUCCAUAUUUCUUUCAUGCCUUACAUACUCGGUACUUUAUUUGUACCGACGUCCAUUUUUCCUGGGGACGCUGUGUUUGAUGCCCGCAGAUCCCGAUAGACAGGUUGAGAGUUCUCCUAGUAGGCUAUCUGCUCAGCAGAAGGUGUUUGUGCACUCCACUUGUUCCGGAGUUUCCUAUUUGGUUAGUAUAAUUUGAAUAUGUAUUGAUUGGUAUGGCGGGGCCUUGUCCCGACCUUUAUGAUGUUUAUGUAGUAUUAGAGACUCUUAGACAAAUGUCACGUAUAUGGAUACGUGUAUGGCCUUAUCAGCCUAUGUUUUGAGUAUACAAAUGAUCAUGUCGGCCUUAUAGGCCCGUAUGUCACAUGCAUGAGUUUUUAUAUCAUGUUGGGUCGUCCUAUGUCUAGUAUUCCCUUAUGUUUUAUUCUCGUUAUCUCAUGACGGACCUUCUGGGCCACUUACCCAUGACGGUAUGAUAAGAAAGAUAUGUUACAUUAGUACUCGGUUGUGUAAGGCACCGGGUGCCCGUCGCGGCCCUACAGUUUGGAUCGUGACAAAAGUGGUAUCAGAGAAGUUCUAUCCUAGGGAGUCUACAAGCCGUGUCUAGUAGAGUCUUGUUUAUGGGUGUGUACUACACCAUACUUAUAAGCAGGAGGUUACAUGGAAUUUAGGAUUGUCACUCUUUCUUCUUACUCUAGAUCGUGUGGUAGAGAUCAAUUGUAAGAAAUUCAGAAUCCUAAAUUCUAUUAUAUUCGUUAUACAACGAUAUCUACAUCUAGAAAGACAGUUGGUAAGAGAUUGAAUGUGGCUGUGGAAGAGUUGAGUCAUCGAUUUUGCAUCAUGCUUAUGAUAAGUAAAUGUAAGGCCUUCAGUAGAUUAUGUGUGUACUACGGCGUGUGAGCUUCUUGAUAAGGAGCGCUAAGGCAUGAAUAUCUAUCUACCCCUAUAGUAAAAAGCAACGAGANNNNNNNNNNNNNNNNNNNNNNNNNAAGCUAGGUGAAGAAGGAUACGAGGUACCUAGUUAUUGAAUAUUAUAUGUAUUUACAAUUCAGGCAGAGAAAUAUAAGUAUUCUGAGUUACUUUCAACAAUAUCAAAGAUAUAUUCACUUGACAACACCCAUUUCAGUUAUGCCUUGUGGGAGCUAACAUAUAUAAUUUAAGGCCUAAUUUAUUUUUUUAAGAUUAAGACGUCUGAAUCUGAAUACAUAACUGAAUAUUCAGAUGUGUAUUAAGAUUAAGACAUCUGAAUCUAAAUACACAUCUGAAUAUAUAUAAUUUAUCUUUAUUUAAAAAUUAAUAAACAUAAAAUUGAAUAAAAUACUAAUUAAUCUAAUAGUGGUGGUUUUAGAUAGUAUCUAGUGGUGAUUGGAAGCGAUAAUGUACGAUUUUGAUUGAGGAUGGUGGUGGUAGAUGGUGAUAGCUAAUAAUGGUUGGUGGUGGUAGUUUAUAAUGGUGGACAAUGCUGGCUAUGGUUAUUGAUGGUGAUGGGGGUGGUGAGUGGUGGUAGUAGUGGCGGUUAUGGUUGAGGAUGGUGGUGAUGGUGGGGGUAGUAGUUGAUAAUGGUAGGCAGUGACGACAGUUAGUAUGGCAGUUGGUAAUGAAUGUGAGUGAUACCAUCUUAAUGAAAUUAAGUCUUUGUUAUAGAUCUUAAUCAUAUAGACCUAUUCAAACCCAUUAAGUGGCUGUGAAGUAAAAAAAACAAAAACACUUAAUGAUUAACAUCUAAAUGGUUAAGAUUCAGACUUUAAAAAUAAACGCACUUAAUGUCUUAGAUCUGAAUGAUUAAGAUUUAGACCUCCAUUAAGUGCAACCAAAUGAGGCCUAAGAGAAGGAUGGGAUAUCGGCAUCCAGCUGGGGUUAAAGUAACCCAAAAUUGUGGAUGGAUUGUUAUCAUUAGCUCACAUUUCCGAGGGAUAUUGCAAAUGUGGUAAUGGUUCUCCUUGUGAGACACCCAGAUGGUGCACUCUAGAAUAGUACAAUCAGAUAUGAUACUAGAAUGUUCAGAAAUUUCAGAAGAUUGGCAUUGGAACCCUAGAAGGGAUAAAUAUUUACCUUUGUAUGGCUUUCGUCCCUAGUAAAGAGGUAGUGUUAGGCGACCCGAAGAGCCAGUGAAUUGAAUCGGGGGGGGGGGGAGGCUAAAAGUGAAAGAAUGUUUUGAAGAAGCUUUCAUAAUAAGGUGAUAGACAGAAAUAUUAGCAGGAGAAUAAGAAGAAAGUAAAUGAAGCAUUAUGAGUAAGAUGUGAUAAAUAGAUGAUAACGGUAAAUCAAAAUAUGAGAGGACUACAAAUUCUAUAGUCAAGUGAAGGAAAUGACAAGAAGUUACAGGCCUUGAGACAAUAAAAGAGUAUAAGCCAUAAAGUGUCCCCAUUUUGAGAAAUGAGUUAGUGACUCAUACGUGAUUACCAGAAGGAAAAGUUAGACCCCCGAAAUAAUAGAAAUUAGUAUGGACAAGUGAAUAAGAUAAACUGAACAUAGAUUCGGGACCGAAUGAUUUGAUAAUAGUUGACAUCGUGAGAAUUUCAGAGAUCGCGUUCCGACGAUAAUUGAAUAGACAACAGAAGAAUAACCUUUAAAGGUCAUUCAGGAAGACGCUUCCCUAAAACGAGCACUGCGAGCAGAGUUAAGCUUAAGGGACUAAGUGUACCAGUUACACUAUGUGUCACCUUUGUAUGUAAGAAAUUAAAUUAUCCCUGGUACAGAAGGGCUACCGCAAGGCAAGUAAGAGUCUGUGAAGAUGUGAAAAGACGCCAAAUAUGAAGAGGUUAAACAUUUAUAGGUAAAUCUUCAUAGCAAUAAAUGUUAGUAUUCCCCUAAAGGGGGAAGAUGAUGUGAUAUGAUAUUAAGUCAGAGUUAUGUGGUUAAGGUAACUAUGGGAUAGUAAAGGAAGAAUGUGGUAGAAAGGAGAAAGGAAUGAGAUUGCAUUUAUUCAGAUCCUACGGAUAUGAUACGACUCCAGAACAUUAUGUAAGCGUGACGACGGAGAGAGGCAGUAAGGGUUCCAUCACUAGAUGUUAUUGAUAAAUAAGUGCAAAUGAACACUGGAUACAUAAGGAGCCAGUGUGCGAGGUAAGUUAAGACAAAGUAUAUAACCCAAGAGAUUUUACGUAGAAUAUAGAUAUGAGAAUGGACUAACGUGUAGUUAGUAAUUAAUUCAGGAAGAGCCUAGCCAUGGAUAAACAAGAGGAUAUAGACAAAUCAACAAGUUGUGCAAGAUAAACAUAGUGAAACCCAACAUAGGGAAUUCAGUCUCGCAAAUAUGAUGACAUCGUAAUCCUUGGAAAAUAUUCAUAUAGGAGUUGGGGUUGUUAAAUGUACCGUAUAAGUGUUACGAAAAAAAAUAAUGGUGCCACUGAUAAGACAGUAAAAAAUUUCAAUUCAGAAUCAACCUUACGAGCUCAAGGGCGCGAAGGUAAGUAAUUAAGGAUAAUUAUAGGUGAGUAAGAACGUCAAAAAAAUUCUUUCGGAUAUACAAUGUAAUAAGCUCGCAGCUUUACAGGAGUCAAAGUGUCUCUCUUAAGUACUACAAAGAAAGACUAGCUGAGGGAAUAAGGAAGAAGACUUUAACUUAAGCAUAGUGACAUAAGGAAGAAAUGGUCUUGUAACAAAAGUCUCACAACAACAUUGUAUGCACUCCAUUAGAAAGUGGCACCUAUCGUAGCUAAUGAAUGGGAAGAAAAAAAAAAUCAAAAGAUGAUAUUUGAGAUCAUAUGAGUUACAGGAAAUUCUAGUAUUUGUGGGUAAUGAGAUAAGCCUUGUAUUCAUGAAACAAGUGGCAGAACGACCAUGAAAAGUAAUUGCUUAUGUUUAAAGACAACUAAGAAAGCACGGGAAGAAUUAUCCGACCCACAAUUUAGAGUUAGCCGUAGUGAUUCAUGCACUAAAGAUGUGGAGGAACUAUUUAUAUGUCAUUCAUGUUGAUAUUUAUACGGAUCAUAAGAGCUUUCAAUAUAUCUUCAAUCAAAAGAUAUUGAAUUUACGCCAAAGGAGAUGGUUGGAGCUACUGAAAGACUAUGACGUUGAUAAUUUAUACCAUCCGGGGAAGGCGAUUGUAGUAGCUGACACCCUCAGCCGUAGAUCUAUGGGCAGCCUAUCAUAUUUACAACUAGAGAAGUGUGGGAUAGCCCAUGAGAUUUAUCAGCUAGCUAGUCUUGGAGUUCAAUUACUGGACUCAGGUGAUACCGGAGUUACUAUUCAUGACACGACAACAUCCUCUUUAGUAACUGAAGUGAAGGAAUGCCAGUACGAGGAUCCUGUGUUAGUUCAUUAUAGGUAUAUGACCCCUCAGAAGGAGAAGAAACCAUUUGAGAUUACAGAAGAUGGGGUCUUUAGGUAUCGAGGAAGAUUAUGUGUCCCUGAUGUUGUAGGGCUGCGCCAGCAGGUUAUGGGAGAAGCUCACUAUUCGCGUUAUUCUAUCCAUCCAGGAGCGACAAAGAUGUAUCAUGAUAUCAGAGGAAUAUACUGGUGGGACAAAAUGAAGAAGGAUAUAACAGAGUUUGUUGCUCAGUGCCCUAAUUAUCAGUAGGUUAAGAUUGAGCAUCAGAAACCCGGUGGAUUAUUAUAGGCUAUAAAGAUUCCGACUUGGAAAUGGGAAGUGAUUAAUAUGGAUUUCAUCAUAGACUUACCUCGUACCCAACGUAAGUUUGAUUCUAUAUGGGUUAUUGUCAAUAGAUUUACAAAAUCAACCCAUUUUCUGUCUGUCAGGACUAUUUAUUUAACAGAGGAUUAUGCAAGGCAUUACAUUAGGGAGAUAGUACGACUUCAUGGUGUAACUAUAUAUAUUAUCUCAGAUAGAGGUGCUCAGUUUACAGUUAAUUUCUGGAGGUCCUUCCAAAAAGCAUUGGGGACUCCGGUAAGUCUUAGUACAACAUUUCAUCCCUAGACAGACGAUCAGGCUGAAUAUACUAUUCAGACACUGGAGGAUUUUCCACGGGCUUAUGUGAUGUACUUCAGGGGUAGAUGGGAUGAUCAUCUUCCUCUUAUUGAGUUCACAUAUAAUAAUAGUUAUCAUUCCAGCAUUCAGAUGGCUCCAUACGAAGCUCUUUACAGACGAAAGUGUAGGUCACCUAUAAGAUGGUUCGAGGUUGGGGAAACUAUAUUAGUAGGACCAUAGUUGGUACAACAGACAGUUGAGAAGAUUAAGCUUAUACGGGAAAGGCUAUAAGCAGCUCAGAGUCGUCAGAAGUCCUAUGCAGAUAAUCGACGACGAGACUUGGAGUUUCAGGUAGAUGAUUGGGUAUUCCUAAAGGUAUCACCAAUGAAAGACGUUAUGAGAUUUGGUAAGAAAGGAAAGAUUAGCCCUCGGUACAUUGGACCUUAUAAUUUUAUACGCAGAGUAGGCCAAGUAGCAUAUGAGUUAGACUUGCCUUCCAAAUUGGAGUUUGUACAUCCAGUAUUUCAUGUGUCAAUGCUCUUUAGGUGUAUUGUAGAUCCCUCUAAAGUCAUUCCAGUUGACGAUGUUCAUGUUACAUAGAAAAUAUCAUAUGAGGAAGCUCCCAUUGCUAUACUAGAUAGACAAGUUCGGAGAUUAAGAACUAAGGAUGUAGCUUCGAUUAAAGUACUUUGGAUUAACAAUAAUGUGGAGGAGAUGAAUUGGGAAGCUGAAGAAGAAAUGAAGACUAGGUAUCCUCACUUGUUUCCACUUCCGGAGGAGGAUCAGACUGAGACAUUACAACCAUUAGGCACAUAUAUGGUACUUAAUUCUUAUGUUAGUUAUUAUUAUUGGUCGUGUGAGGCCAUUGGUGUUAUUGAUGAUUGUGGACCUGUGUGGAUUUGUAUUGUUGGGUUUGCUGUAUGAUAGGUUGGUAGUAGUACCGUUACAUAGGGGACUCUGCCAAAAUUUCUAUAGAUUUCUGGGAGUUUAACAUUCGAGGACGAAUGUUUCUAAGGGGAAACAAUUGUUACACCCUAUGCGUCCCAAGGUGACGUAAUGAAUAUGAGACUUGUUAAUCAUUAUUUAAAUGAUUUUAAAGUCAUAAUAUGGCUAUAUAUGAUGUUUUGAUAGAAAAUAUGAAGUUUGGAAAAUAUCGGAUUAAAGUUGCGGAAAAAGCGACUAAAGAUUUGGCUUGUAAUAGAGUUUUUUGAGAAAUAAAAUUCAUGUGCUAUAUGUGUUCUUUUUGGGAUAUAUUAUAUACCAAAUUAAAGGUCUUGGAAUUUAGUUUCCAAUGCUCUUAACCGUUUAUUCAUACGACACCCGAAUAAAACGUUAUAAGCGUUGGAAGAAGGACCAAUGCUAGGGUGCCAAGUAGCACCUUUUGACUUUCCAAACAAAAUGGAUAUUUAUAUCUUUAUCUCGUUUCAUUCUUCAAUUUUCCAGAACACACAACCAAAUAAUUCCCUAACUUUACUCUUAAGCUCUCUGUAAGAUCUUCAAACAAGAUUAUCAUCCCAGGCACAGAAUCAAGAAACGAUAACAUUAAAACGAUCCCUACGAUGUAAGUAUCGCUAUAUCGCCUCUCAUUUUCAUUCCAGUUUGAGUUUUGGAAGGUACUUUAUAGUUAAGAAAACGUGUAAUUUCUGUAUUUAAGUAUUUAAAUAUCAAGGAAGGUUGAUAAAUACAUUUUCUAAUAGUUAGAACUCACGGGACAGUGAUCGGAAGUCGUGAGUUUGAGUUAUUCACUUGUAGCGGACUGUUUUGUGGAUUGUUUGUUGUUGCUGUUGGUCUGCAUAUUUUACUACUAUUUUGUGGAGUUUUGGAGGAGUAAGGUUGUGUAGAAACACCACAUAAAUUCAGGGUGGUGGGAUGAUCGUUCGUCGCAAUAUUUUCGGGCCGUUUGACACUACUACGGUGGUCGUUUUGUGUAUGAAGAGAUUGGGAUGUGUUGGGCUGUUUGUAGUAUUUUGUGGUGUAUAUAAGGUUGGAAAAUAAUGUAUACAUGUUGAUAUUGUUAUGUUUGGUGUUAUCUUGAAUUUGAAGGAAGUAAGGAUUAUAGGGGAGAUGCUGCCCGUUUUAAUACAAAAUAAGCUUGUCGUUCGUUGUGCGAUAGUUGUACCUUUCGUAACUUAAUGAUAGUAUUAUUAUUAUUGUUGUAGAUUAAGGUACGAAGAUGAGAGUUCAACUUGGUGAUUGGAAAGAUUGUGAUAAGGUAUGUUAAGUCUAUCCCUUAUUUUCUUUUUGGCAUGAUCCAUAUGAUGCAAGAAAUGAGCAAGUACGCAACUUUCACAAAUAAUUCUAUUCCUAGAAGUACUAGGGUUGCCUAUGUUCUUGAUUCCGAGAGAUCUUAUUCACUUACUUUAUUAUGCAUUGCAUCCAUUUAUAUAUGUACAUUGACCCAUGACCAGAUAACGUUAUAUAUGCGUAUAUUAUAUGUAUAUAGGGUAUGAGAAAAGGUUAUGACGUUAUAUACGCACCACCACCUGAUCAACUGGUAUACGAUGAUGAUUUCGCCCACAGUGACUGAGAUGAUAUGAUGGGAUGCCCUCAGAGGCUUGAUGAUGUUAUGUAUGCAUAUACCUAUGCAUGGAAUGACAUUUAUAUGUACAUCCAUGACAUUAUAAAUUUUUCAUGAUUCACAGAGCUAUUCAGACUUGCAGGUUGAGUUCCUUACUCCAUAUUUCUUUCAUGC